AGCCUUCUGUAUCAGUGCCGAGAUUUCGUCACACCAGAUCACAAGAGCCGAUGGGACUUCCAAGAUAAGUAAAGCG
rnacentral:pre_miRNA from 1 species